CGCACCUUGCGCUCCUUGGUAUUCCGAGGAGCACGCCUGUUCGAGUGUCGUGAAUAUCUCAAGCUCUAGCACUUUGUUGAGUUAGGGUUUGGACUUGGGCUUUGCCGUGCUGUUAAUGUGCGGCUAGUCUCAAAUGUAUUAGCUGAUCCAUGCUUGCAUGUUUGGUUCUACUCGGCGUGAUAAUUCUCUGACCGCUGAGGACAUUUGCAUUGCUGCAAAUGGCCUAAUAUGCCUUAGAUUGCUUCUAAUCUGUUUGCCUUGUGCAACAACCUUUCAAUUUUGACCUCGAAUCAGGUGGGACUACCCGCUGAACUUAA
rnacentral:misc_RNA from 1 species